rnacentral:rRNA from 1 species
CUACGUAUGGAGCAAGCGUUAUCCGGAUUUACUGGGUGUAAAGGGAGUGUAGGCGGCUUUGCAAGUCAGAUGUGAAAGCCCGGGGCUCAACCCCGGGACUGCAUUUGAAACUGUGAAGCUGGAGUGUCGGAGAGGUAAGUGGAAUUCCUAGUGUAGCGGUGAAAUGCGUAGAUAUUGGGAGGAACACCAGUGGCGAAGGCGACUUUCUGGACUACAACUGACGCUGAGGCACGAAAGCGUGGGGAGCAAACAGGAUUAGAUACCCUGGUAGUCCACGCUGUAAACGAUGAGUACUAGGUGUCGGCUGUCAAAGGUCGGUGCCGGCGUUAACACAUUAAGUACUCCGCCUGGGGAGUACGCUCGCAAGAGUGAAACUCAAAUGAAUUGACGGGG